rnacentral:rRNA from 1 species
UUUGGAUAACUGUGGUAAUCCUAGAGCUAAUACAUGCAAUCAAGUCCUGACCAGUCUGACUGGAAAGGACGCUUUUAUUAGAUCAAGACCAAUCGCCCGGCCUGUCCGGGCGUAGCCUUGGUGACUCUAGGUAACACAUCAGAUCGCAUGGUCUCAGCACCGGCGACUUAUCCUUCAAAUGCCUGACUUAUCAACUGUCGAUGGUAGACUCUAUGUCUACCAUGGUUGUAACGGGUAACGGGGAAUCAGGGUUCGAUUCCGGAGAGGGAGCCUGAGAAACGGCUACCACAUCCAAGGAAGGCAGCAGGCACGCAAAUUACCCACUCCCGGCACGGGGAGGUAGUGACAAAAAAUAACGAUACGGGACUCUUAUGAGGCCCCGUAAUCGGAAUGAGUACACUUUAAAUCCUUUAACAAGGAUCCAUUGAAGGGCAAGUCUGGUGCCAGCAGCCGCGGUAAUUCCAGCUUCAAUAGCGUAUAUUAAAGUUGUUGCGGUUAAAAAGCUCGUAGUUGGUUCUGCGUGCUACGCUGUCGGUUCGCCGCCUGCCGGUGUAACUGGCAUGCCGUGGCAUGUCCUGCCGGUGGCGUGCGGGAGCCUUGUCAGGCGCCGGCCCGAGUUUUAAAGCUUGGUGUCGGAGGCCGGAGGUCCAACCCGUGCGCCUACUCUAUCCUACCUAGGUGCUCUUCACCGAGUGUCGAGGUAGGCCGGUACGUUUACUUUGAACAAAUUAGAGUGCUCAAAGCAGGCUGAAAUCUCUGCCUGAAUAGUGGUGCAUGGAAUAAUAAAACAGGACCUUGGUUCUAUUUUGUUGGUUCUUACGAACACAAAGGUAAUGAUCAAUACGGACAGGCGGGGGCAUUCGUAUUGCGUCCUCCGAUGAGACGGGGCCGGGAAACCAAAGCUUUUGGGUCCCGGGGGAAGUAUGGUUGCAAAGCUGAAACUUAAAGGAAUUGACGGAAGGGCACCACCAGGAGUGGAGCCUGCGGCUUAAUUUGACUCAACACGGGAAACCUCACCAGGUCAGGACAUUGUAAGGAUUGACAGAUUGAUAGCUCUUUCUUGAUUCAGUGGGUAGUGGUGCAUGGCCGUUCUUAGUUGGUGGAUCGAUUUGUCUGGUUAAUUCCGAUAACGAACGAGACUCUGGCCUAUUAACUAGACGGUCCCAGAGCCCUCGUCUUUGGCGAAAAUGACUCUUCUUAAGGGGACAGGCGGCUUAUAGUCGCACGAGAUUGAGCAAUAACAGGUCUGUGAUGCCCUUAGAUGUCCUGGGCCGCACGCGCGCUACAAUGAAAGAAUCAGCGUGUGUCUCCCAGCCCGAUAGGGCCGGGUAAUCCGCUGAACCUCUUUCGUGCUUGGGAUUGUGGCUUGCAAUUGUUCUUCAUGAACGAGGAAUUCCCAGUAAGCGCGAGUCAUAAGCUCGCGUUGAUUACGUCCCUGCCCUUUGUACACACCGCCCGUCGCUACUACCGAUUGAAUGAUUUAGUGAGGUCUUCGGACCGGCGGGAAAUCCCUAUCGCUUCGGCGGUAUCGACGAACGCUGGGAAGAUGACCAAACUUGAUCAUUUAGAGGAAGUAAAAGUCGUAACAAGGUUUCC